UCCGUAGGGGGCAAGCGUUGUCCGGAUUUAUUGGGCGUAAAGAGCGUGUAGGCGGUUUGGUAGGUCCGCUGUGAAAACUCGAGGCUCAACCUCGAGACGCCGGUGGAAACCAUCAGACUAGAGUCCGGAAGAGGAGAGUGGAAUUCCUGGUGUAGCGGUGAAAUGCGCAGAUAUCAGGAGGAACACCGGUGGCGAAGGCGGUGGUCUGGGCCGGUACUGACGCUGAGGAGCGAAAGCGUGGGGAGCGAACAGG
rnacentral:rRNA from 1 species